rnacentral:rRNA from 1 species
AGCUUGCUACUCUGCUGACGAGCGGCGGACGGGUGAGUAAUGCCUAGGAAUCUGCCUAGUAGUGGGGGAUAACUUGCCGAAAGGUAAGCUAAUACCGCAUACGUCCUACGGGAGAAAGCAGGGGACUCUUCGGAGCCUUGCGCUAUUAGAUGAGCCUAGGUCGGAUUAGUUAGUUGGUGAGGUAAUGGCUCACCAAGACCGCGAUCCGUAACUGGUCUGAGAGGAUGAUCAGUCACACUGGAACUGAGACACGGUCCAGACUCCUACGGGAGGCAGCAGUGGGGAAUAUUGGACAAUGGGGGAAACCCUGAUCCAGCCAUGCCGCGUGUGUGAAGAAGGUCUUAGGAUUGUAAAGCACUUUAAGUUGGGAGGAAGGGCAGUUAACUAAUAUUUGACUGUUUUGACGUUACCGACAGAAUAAGCACCGGCUAACUUCGUGCCAGCAGCCGCGGUAAUACGAAGGGUGCAAGCGUUAAUCGGAAUUACUGGGCGUAAAGCGCGCGUAGGUGGUUCGUUAAGUUAGGAGUGAAAGCCCCGGGCUCAACCUGGGAAUUGCUUCUAAAACUGGCGGGCUAGAGUACGGUAGAGGGUGGUGGAAUUUCCUGUGUAGCGGUGAAAUGCGUAGAUAUAGGAAGGAACAUCAGUGGCGAAGGCGACCACCUGGACUGAUA